rnacentral:misc_RNA from 1 species
AUCAUAUUCAAAUGACUAUUCAAUACAAGCAAUGCCGCAACAUCUGCCGCUGCCUCUACAAUACUGGCACAGCUUAUUCCGCCUGACUUCAAAAAUGUAUCUGUCCAGACCUGAUUUAUCUCAAAAGCUUUGACUCUGUAACCGGCACGGAUUAGUGAAGUAGCCAAUUGGAGGCUAAGAUCGUCCAAGCCAAUAAACCCAACGAACGCCAUUAAUGAGAACGUUGAGAUAGUAGUUCCCUGCUCUCAGCUGAAGCUUCUGUGAUUCUCCCAGCAGCUGAGACUUGAGAUACUACAAAACAGCAGGU